UUUAAGAAUAUAAAAUAAUUAAAUUUUAAAUAUUAAAUAAUUUUCAAUAUUAAUUAUUAAACUUUUAAUUAAAUAUAAAGAUACGUUCGAGAAGAGUAAUUAUGAAAAAAAAUUGGCCUAAUAAAAACGGUAAAGUAUUCACGAUUUUAUAUUUGGACUCUUGGAUCCGAAAAGUCGGAUGAAAUUUUUUAAAAGCGAUGAAUCGCUAAUCGCCCUUAAUAAAGCGAUGAAUCGUCCAUCAUUUUAAUAUAAAAAUAUAAAAAUUAUAAAUUGCUCGUUGCCUUAUAGAAAAUAUGGUGUACGAUUUACUAUUUUUGAUGGAAAUACCUAUUGUGGUAGUGAGUCCAAAAAUAAGAGUUAUUUGGCUAAAUAAUUUGAAGCUAAUUAUAAAAUAGGCCCAAUUUGCGUAAAAAAUCUACUUAUUUUGGGCUUUUGUAAAAUCGGGCCACCUUUUUCGUUUUUGCAGAUUCAGAUCAUAUUUUUAGCAAACUAACUAAAAUACCCUUAUUACUUUUUCUCUCUCCUCUUUUUUUUCUCUCAUUCUUUUUUUUCUCUCUCUAAAGAACGCACCGAUGGCGGAGACGGAGGCAGAGGCGGAAAUAGCCCGCCUCGCCUCUCACUCUCAUGCUCUCGCCCUCACCCACGCACCCUGCGGCUUCCUCGCCUCUGACCCCGUUAAGACUGCACAGCAACUCCUUUUUUUUUUCCCCUCUCCAACCCUCCUCUACCGCCUCCGACGACGACGCCUUUCUCGCCCUUCCCCGCUUUUUCUCGCCCUUUCCCUCUCCCUCCUCCUUCGUUUCCUUCGCCACUUCCGACGAUGACACCUCUUUGCUGACGCUGAUGCCGCGAAGGUCGCUGCGACGUCGCAGCCUCGAAGCGGGAAGUCCUUAGCAACGUCAUCGCCGACGCAGUGGUCGUUGGCGAAGAGGCAUGACAAAAAAAAAUUGUAGAAAAUAAAUAAUAAAAAAAUAAAGACAAAAAAAAUAGAAGAAAGAAGAAGAUAAUGAAAUUGCACUAUUUAAAAAAUAAUUGCACUGUUUUAAAAUUUUUUACUGUUUUAAAUGAAGGUUGCACUCUUUGAAAAAAAAUUGCACUCUUUGAAAUCACAUUACACUGUUUAGAACAAAAUUGCACUAUUUUGACAGAAUUUACACUAUUUCGUUUUCUAUUUUUUACACUAUUUUUCUUCCAUUCUUUUUCCUCUCUCCUCAUCCUCAUCCUUAUCCUCAUCCUCAUCCUCAUCCUCCACCUCUAGAGAGAGGAUUGGAGAGGCGGUGGUAGCGCAGGAGCGAGCGCACCUCGUCGGGGAACCCCGCGGCACGCAUCCGUCACGACCACGACGCUGGUCUCCCCUCCGCCGCAACCGCCUCCCCCGCGCCUUCCUUCACCGCCGCUGCCUCCCCCGCGCC
rnacentral:lncRNA from 1 species